rnacentral:rRNA from 1 species
GCUCCAAUAGCGUAUAUUAAAGUUGUUGCAGUUAAAAAGCUCGUAGUUGGACUUCCGGUCGCUCGGGCGGUCCGCCGCAAGGUGAGCACUGCCGCGAGUGACCUCCUCUCGAGGACCGCGUGUGCACUUAACUGUUGCGUGCGCGGGACUCGGGACCUUUACUUUGAAAAAUUAGAGUGUUCAAGCAGGCCUUCGCUUGA